rnacentral:rRNA from 1 species
GACGAACGCUGGCGGCGUGCUUAACACAUGCAAGUCGAACGGAAAGGCCCUGCUUUUGUGGGGUGCUCGAGUGGCGAACGGGUGAGUAACACGUGAGUAUCCUGCCCUUGACUUUGGGAUAACUUUAGGAAACUGGGGCUAAUACCGGAUAGGAGCUCCUGCUGCAUGGUGGGGGUUGGAAAGUUUCGGUGGUUGGGGAUCGUCUCGCGGCUUAUCAGCUGGUUGGUGGGGUAGUGGCUUACCAAGGGUUUGACGGGUAGCCGGCCUGGGAGGGUGACCGGGCACAUUAGGACUGAGAUACGGCGCAGAGGGCUAGGGGAGGCAGCGGUGGGGAAUAUUGCGCAGUGGGCGGAAGCGAGAUGCAAAAACGCCGCGUGCGGGAUGACGGCCUUCGGGUUAUAAACCGCUUUCGCAUGAGACAAAGCGUGAGUGACGGUAAUGGGUAAAGAAGCACCGGCUAACUACGUG